rnacentral:misc_RNA from 1 species
UUUCCGUAGGUGAACCUGCGGAAGGGUCAUUACAGUGUUCCCUGCCCUUCGGGGUAGGAUCGCCACCCUUGAUUAUUUAUGAGUGUUGCUUUGGCGGGCCUCGCGGCCUGGCCGCGCCCCGGCUUCGGCGGGGGAGCGCCCGCCAGAGGAUUCUACAAACCUGAUUAUUAGUGUCGUCUGAGUACUAUAUAAUAGUUAAAACUUUCAACAACGGAUCUCUUGGUUCUG